CCUACGGGAGGCAGCAGUGGGGAAUAUUGCGCAAUGGGCGAAAGCCUGACGCAGCGACGCCGCGUGAAGGAUGAAGGUCUUCGGAUCGUAAACCUCUGUCAGCAGGGAAGAACGGUCACUGUGCUAAUCAGCAGUGAAUUGACGGUACCUGCAAAGAAAGCACCGACUAACUCCGUGCCAGCAGCCGCGGUAAUACGUAGGGUGCGAGCGUUAAUCGGAAUUACUGGGAGUAAAGCGCUCGUAGGCGGGAUGUCAAGUCAAUGGUGAAAUCCCCGCGCUCAACGUGGGAACUGCCUUUGAAACUGGUAAACUGGAGUGUGUGAGAGGAUAGUGGAAUUCCAGGUGUAGGAGUGAAAUGCGUAGAUAUCUGGAGGAACAUCAGUGGCGAAGGCGACUAUCUGGCACAUAACUGACGCUGAGGAGCGAAAGCGUGGGUAGCAAACAGGAUUAGAUACCCUAGUAGUC
rnacentral:rRNA from 1 species